UACAGAGGGUGCAAGCGUUGUUCGGAAUUAUUGGGCGUAAAGCGCGUGUAGGCGGCUUUGCAAGUCGGGUGUGAAAGCCCUCGGCUCAACUGAGGAAGUGCACCCGAAACUGGCGAGCUUGAGUACGAAAGAAGGAUCGCGGAAUUCCCGGUGUAGAGGUGAAAUUCGUAGAUAUCGGGAAGGAACACCGGUGGCGAAAGGCGGCGAUCUGGGUCGAUACUGACGCUGAGGUGCGAAAGCGUGGGGAGCAAACAGG
rnacentral:rRNA from 1 species